rnacentral:rRNA from 1 species
GACGAACGCUGGCGGCGUGCCUAACACAUGCAAGUCGAACGAGGUCCAUCCUUCGGGAGAAGACCUAGUGGCGAACGGGUGAGUAACACGUGAGAAACCUGCCCCGAAGACCGGGAUAACCCUCCGAAAGGAGAGCUAAUACCGGAUGCCCCCACCGAGCCGCAUGGCUUGGUGAGGAAAAUGGAUUCCGCUUCGGGAGGGUCUCGCGGCCUAUCAGCUAGUUGGUGGGGUAACGGCCCACCAAGGCAUCGACGGGUAGCUGGUCUGAGAGGACGAUCAGCCACACUGGGACUGAGACACGGCCCAGACUCCUACGGGAGGCAGCAGUGGGGAAUCUUGCGCAAUGGGCGAAAGCCUGACGCAGCAACGCCGCGUGGGGGAUGAAGGCUCUCGGGUUGUAAACCCCUUUCAGCAGGGACGAAAUCAGACGGUACCUGCAGAAGAAGCUCCGGCUAACUACGUGCCAGCAGCCGCGGUAAU